rnacentral:rRNA from 1 species
AACGAACGCUGGCGGCAGGCUUAGCACAUGCAAGUCGAACGAGAUCUUCGGAUCUAGUGGCAGACGGGUGAGGAACACGUGGGAACAUUCCUCUCAGUUCGGAAUAACGUUGGGAAACUAACGCUAAUACCGGAUACGUCCUUCGGGAGAAAGAUUUAUCGCUGAAAGAUUGGCCCGCGUCUGAUUAGCUAGUUGGCGAGGUAACGGCUCACCAAGGCUACGAUCAGUAGCUGAUCUGAGAGGAUGAUCAGCCACAUUGGGACUGAGACACGGCCCAAACUCCCACGGGAGGCAGCAGUGGGGAAUAUUGGACAAUGGGCGCAAGCCUGAUCCAGCCAUGCCGCGUGAGUGAUGAAGGCCUUCGGGUUGUAAAGCUCUUUUGUCCGGGAAGAUAAUGACUGUACCGGAAGAAUAAGCCCCGGCAAACUUCGUGCCAGCCGCCGCAGUAA